GGAAUGAUUGGGCGUAAAGCGUCAGUAGGUGGCUUUUUAAGUCCGUUGUCAAAUCCCAGGGCUCAACCCUGGACAGGCGGUGGAAACUACCAAGCUGGAGUACGGUAGGGGCAGAGGGAAU
rnacentral:ncRNA from 1 species